GGCGCCCGGCCAAGGGUGGACGCUCCUGGGGUCCGGUCUCCUGGCGUCCUGUCUAGCCACUCAAGAAAGACUUUUGUAGCAUCUACUGCGUGCAGUCACUGAGGCCGCAGGGUUGCAGAAACAGAGGCCCCGAGAGUGCAGUGACUUCUCACACCCGCAGGCACAGAUAGGUGGGCUCAGGCCGGAGACAGAGGAAAAGAACUAUCCCCUCAAGACUUAUUAACAAGUCCUCCAGGGAAAUGGCAGAAGGGGAGUUGGCCAGUUCUGAAGCCCACAUCCCUUUGCAGGCCAGGAGCCAUACUUCCCAAGGCUCUUCAGUAUAGUUGUCUGGACAGAGGGUCCAAGAUGGCUGAUGAGAAACCCCCCGGGAGUUGGGGCAGCCCUGGUGUUCACAGCUCCAGCUGGCUAUGGAGAGGGCUUCGCUGGAUAGAACUGAGAUGGUGCCAGGCUCCGGAGGCUCUGCUGCCCAACCUGGCCUGCCCUGGCUCUUAGUUUCGCCGGACUGGAUGCCACAUGGACACAGGCCUGCGCAGUGUGGCCAGCAUCUGGUUCCAGUGUGUGGUGCCCAUGCCACUGGCCCCUGGCCCAAUGAUGACAUGGCCCACGUUGUCUCCACGGCCGUCGCUGCUGCUCUCAGCCACUGUCACCCGGAGAGACAGGUCCUGGGGAGAAGGUGACAUGAAAGAUUGGGACCAGGAGCAGCUGAGGGAGGGGUUCUUCCUGGCUCCAAGGCUCCAAGGCCCUGUGAGGUGCACACAGCUCUUUGAACCUUCCCAUCUGACUUGGGAGAAGAGACUUGUCCUAGUUACUUCCAGAUGGAUAAGCCAGCUAUGAUGUGACCUCGCUAAGUGCUAAAAAGUGACAGUCCCAGCAGGAUUCAAAAUCCAUCUCUCACUUCUCUGUCCCUCGACAUUUUUUUCUUUAAGAUUUAUUUUUGAGUUUGAAAAGAUGGGUCAGCAAUUAAAUACACUUGCUAUUCUUGCAGAGA
ensembl:processed_transcript uncharacterized LOC110324905